AGAAAAUUGAUCGAAACUGCGACACGUUUUUUCCUGACCUGGCAGUUAGUUAGUUUGUAGUGAACAGUUUUUAGAGAAAACAUAGGUGGAAUCUAUUUUGCUUGUUGCGCGUGAUUUGAGUGCUCGCGGUUCAGUGAGUCGGAAGAGUUUGAGUGACCGUUCGGUUGUUCCGGUUAGGUGUACCGGGUUGAGCUCAAUUAGAGCGGUAGGAAAGAAAAAGCGUAAGUACGCAAGUGUACUUUUUAUUUACCCGAAGAUAAAUAUGAUUUUCGUCCAUUAGCUUCAAAUAGCCGGUGAUAUCCGACGGUUUAGGGUUGCCAGAGCUAGAGCUUAGGGUAAACGGCGAAACUUAUUUGUAAGUUCAU